GAUCAUGGCUCAGGAUGAACGCUGGCGGCGUGCCUAACACAUGCAAGUCGAACGGAGUCGUUUUGGAAAUCUCUUCGGAGAUGGAAUUCUCAACUUAGUGGCGGACGGGUGAGUAACGCGUGAGCAAUCUGCCUUUAAGAGGGGGAUAACAGUCGGAAACGGCUGCUAAUACCGCAUAAAGCAUUAAAUUCGCAUGUUUUUGAUGCCAAAGGAGCAAUCCGCUUUUA
rnacentral:rRNA from 1 species